AGUGAACGCUGGCGGUAGGCCUAACACAUGCAAGUCGAACGGCAGCACAGAGGAGCUUGCUCCUUGGGUGGCGAGUGGCGGACGGGUGAGGAAUACAUCGGAAUCUACCUUUUCGUGGGGGAUAACGUAGGGAAACUUACGCUAAUACCGCAUACGACCUUCGGGUGAAAGCCGGGGACCUUCGGGCCUGGCGCGGAUAGAUGAGCCGAUGUUGGAUUAGCUAGUUGGCGGGGUAAAGGCCCACCAAGGCGACGAUCCGUAGCUGGUCUGAGAGGAUGAUCAGCCAAACUGGAAAUGAGGCACGGUCCAGACUCAUACGGGAGGCAGCAGUGGGGAAUAUUGGAAAAUGGGCGCAAGCAUGAUCCAGCCAUACCGCGUGGGUGAAGAAGGCCUUCGGGUUGUAAAGCCCUUUUGUUGGGAAAGAAAUCCUGUCGGUUAAUACCCGGUAGGGAUGACGGUACCCAAAGAAUAAGCACCGGCUAACUUCGUGCCAGCCGCCGCAGUAACAC
rnacentral:rRNA from 1 species